rnacentral:rRNA from 1 species
UACGUAGGGCGCAAGCGUUGUCCGGAAUUAUUGGGCGUAAAGAGCUCGUAGGCGGCUUGUCACGUCGGGUGUGAAAGCCCGGGGCUCAACCCCGGGUCUGCAUUCGAUACGGGCUAGCUAGAGUGUGGUAGGGGAGAUCGGAAUUCCUGGUGUAGCGGUGAAAUGCGCAGAUAUCAGGAGGAACACCGGUGGCGAAGGCGGAUCUCUGGGCCAUUACUGACGCUGAGGAGCGAAAGCGUGGGGAGCGAACAGG